rnacentral:rRNA from 1 species
GUUGACCUCGGAUCAUGUAG